AGCAGCCGCGGUAAUUCCAGCUCCAAUAGCGUAUAUUAAAGUUGCUGCAGUUAAAAAGCUCGUAGUUGAAUUUCGGGACUAAUAUGUCGGUCGUGCCUCGGUACGUACUGGCUUAUUGGUUUCUCCUUUCUGAAGAACCAUGAUGUCAUUUAUUUGGUGUCGUGGGGAAUCAGGACUGUUACUUUGAAAAAAUUAGAGUGUUUAAAGCAGGCAUUAGCUUGAAUACAUUAGCAUGGAAUAAUGAAAUAGGACGUUCGAACCUAUUUUGUUGGUUUUAGGAUCAACGUAAUGAUUAAUAGGGAUAGUUGGGGGCAUUAGUAUUCAAUUGUCAGAGGUGAAAUUCUUGGAUUUAUUGAAGACUAACUACUGCGAAAGCAUUUGCCAAGGAUGUUUUCAUUAAUCAAGAACGAAAGUUAGGGGAUCGAAGACGAUCAGAUACCGUCGUAGUCUUAACCAUAAACUAUGCCGACUAGGGAUCGGAUGAUGUUAAUUUUUUAAUGACUCAUUCG
rnacentral:rRNA from 1 species